GAAGUGCGAUAAGUAGUGUGAAUUGCAGAAUUCCGUGGAUCAUCGAAUUUUUGAACGCAAAUUGCACUCUCUGGUAUUCCGGAGAGUAUGCCUGUUUGAGGGUCAUCAAAUAAAAAAUCGAUUUUGUUUACCUGAUUUGAGGUCAUUUUCGGAAUUGGGUCAUCUUAAACCUUCGGGUUCAAGAGGCUUAAAAUUGAUCAUUUUUUUGGUAUGAUUUAAGCGUAUUUAAGAUCUCUUAUCACGCGCUUGAUGAGUAUCGGAUGUUUAUUAGGCGUGACCAUGAUCGUGGUUUCGCGCCCAUAAUCUUUUCAUGAAAAUGACCUCAAAUCAGGUAGGAUUACCCGCUGAACUUAA
rnacentral:misc_RNA from 1 species